AUUUUCCGCAAUGGGCGAAAGCCUGACGGAGCAACGCCGUGUGAGGGAAGAAGGUCUUCGGAUCGUAAACCUUUGUCAUCGAGGACGAUAAUGACGGUACUCGAGGAGGAAGCCCCGGCUAACUACGUGCCAGCAGCCGCGGUAACACGUAGGGGGCGAGCGUUGUCCGGAAUUACUGGGCGUAAAGGGCGCGUAGGCGGCCUAAUAAGUCAGAUGUGAAACCCCCGGGCUUAACCCUGGGCUUGCAUUUGAAACUGUUGGGCUUGAGGACAGGAGAGGAAAGCGGAAUUCCCAGUGUAGCGGUGGAAUGCGUAGAUAUUGGGAGGAACACCAGUGGCGAAGGCGACUACCUGGACGAAAACUGACGCUGAGGCACGAAAGCUAGGGGAGCAAAC
rnacentral:rRNA from 1 species